rnacentral:rRNA from 1 species
AACCGCGGUUAGACGAGAGGCCCCAGUUGAUUACACCACGGCGUAAAGGGUGGUUAAGGAGAUUAGACAAAUAAAGCUGAAUGGUCCUUUAGCCGUCAUACGCUCUUAGAGAUCCGAAACCCAAACACGAAAGUAGCUUUAAUAAAACCUACCUGAUUCCACGAAAACUGAGGAA